UGGAGCUUCAGUGACGUUCCGAGGGUCCCGCAUGCGAAUGAGGAUGUCAUCCAGCAGCUGCGCUCGGGUCUUCCUUGGGGGUGGUAUUGGUAUUCUCGCAGCCUGGCACAAGGGUUUCUGGAAAGUGUCCAGCCUGGGCUUGGAAGAACGGCAGACAAGCGGCUGCUUCAGCAUGCGAUGCAGGGCCUGCGCAUUCUUCUGGAUGCCUAGCAGAAAAGGCAGCAACAGGUGUCAUCCCUGACCCUGCUCAGUGCUGGGAAAUGAACUGCAGAGCCCAAGAAAACCAGGGCUUCCUCAUCUGUGCCCUCCCCCCCACCCCAUCCAAAUGCUUCACCAUUCAUUGCAAGAAAUGUCCCUGUGAGCUCAGAGCCUGAUGUGGGAAGACUUGGGGCCUCACAGUGAUUCCGUAAUCGGGGGUCACAUGAUAGGAGUGACUCCUAGGAGACUGGCUCCCAGCAGGCUCUUUUGGAGGCCCAGAUGAGAGGGCACUGCCUCUGCUGCCCCAAACCAGGUGGGGAGGGUUUGGGAUGGUCUGCUGGGCCUUAACAGAGGCUGGUGAGAACUCAGGAACCUGGCUUUGUUUGCUCAUUAACCCUUCUCUAUGAGCAAUUUUUCACCCAGGGCGACUGGGCUAAUCCAGGCAGUCUUUGAAAAAAAUCCAUGACCCAAAGCAGUGAAGGUUCAGCAAAGGACAGUGUGAUGCUGCCGUGUACUAAGAACCCUCUGGCAGACAUUCACAUGGAGUCAGCAUCAGCCUUGGCCUGGCAUGGCCUGCUCUGGGCUGACAGGAUGUCCCUGGUCCUGACAUACCCUUCGGCUCCACAAAGGUAGGAUCAGGCUUGGCCGUGAGCAGCUCCUCAUAGCCCUCAUACUUGUUGGACAUAGGAGCAGACGGCUGCUUCCGCCGGGUCUUCUUUGCCUCUCUGGGUGCAGUUAGUGGUCUCGUUUGGGCAUUCUCCUUCGCCUCUAACUUUCCCCUGUGGACGGUGGAGGAUGGCAAUUCAUUCACCUGUGCCAGGAAGAAAACACACUCACUUGUUCCCUGCCCAGUCCCAACAUGGGCUUUGCACAGCCCACGUGUUGGGCCCUGAUAAGGGAGAGCUGAGGCAUAAAGGAGGCCAAAAGAAUAGGUGAUAUGUGCUAACAGGAGCAGGCAUGGCCAGUCUAGAGAAUCUCAGAAGAGGCCCAAAGCCCACCAGAAAACUCCAUGGGAAGUGAUUCCUUAGUCUGGGCCAAGUCUUUGGGACACAGGAGAGUUGUUCCCAGAAAAGGCAGAUAGAAGACUGGACUUCAGCCAUGACAGAGGGCAGUAGUCAAGGAGCAACAUGCAUGCUUCAAGAGCAGUGUACCAGACAAGUGGCCUGCGUGCUGAGCAAGGCCCAGGUGAAGGACCUUCGAAUGCCAUGCUGAGGGCAUUUGUUUUGUAUUCUUUAUUCUCACUUUGAGGGAAUCCAGGAACAUUUUGGUCUACCCAAAUAGUUUUUUAUACAAUACAGGACGCCCUAUCCAUGUAGGGAUGUUCCGGGGGACCCUGCCAAUUCUAGCCUUAUGGAGGUUGAACAAUCUUUACAUGAAAUGCCUGGGAGAAGAAGAACGUUUAUAUUUUAGAAUAUUUACAUGACAAGAUAAGAUGCCUUGGCAUGAGACCCAAUUCUACAUGGAAAAUUUGAUGUUUUAUGUAUAUUUUAAAUACAUAGCCCUAAGGUAAUUUCAUAUAUCUUUAGUGAUUUUAUGCAUGAAACAAAAAUUUCAUGAUGUAGAAUUUUCCUCUUGUGGAUAUGUUAGCACAUAAAAAAAAAUUCAAAAUUCAGAAUAUCUGGGAUUUGAGUCAUUCACAUUGGGGAUUUCCUUUCUCUAUACCAGUGGUUCUCAACCUUCCUAAUGCUGCAACCCCCUUAAUACAAUUCCUUGUAUUGUGGUUACCCCCAAGCAUAAAAUUAUUUUUGUAGCUACUUAGUAACUAUAACUUUGCUACUUAUGGAUUAUAAUGUAAAUAUCUGUGUUUUCUGAUGGUCUUAGGUGACCCAUGUGAAAGGGUUGUUUGAUCCCAAAUGGGUCGUGACCCACUGGAUAUUCAUGGUUCCAUUUGGAUUUCUUCCCCUGCACCACAUUUUCUGUUCUCUUUGUCCGUAUCCCUACCUUGCUAAUGCUUCCAUGGCCUGAGAAGUGCAGCUCAUUUGACCCUUCUCCCAGCCCUCCUGGUUUGGAACAGAGGCAUCCUUCCUCAGACCUGGUUCCUGAGUUCCCCCAGUCUCAGCACAGAUGGCAAGUUCUGUUCCUGUCAGCUUUCCUUUUAGACCAUAAGCACCUUGAAGAUGGCACCUGUAUCAGAGCCACCUUUGUUCCCAGGACCCAGGGCAGCAUGGGAAGUGAGGUACAGUAGUGACAGGCCUCUGCACACUGGUCAGCACUACAUCCCAGGGAGAUCUGAGGUGCUGUCUGUGCCACAGGACUACUACUACUACUACCAGAGAGUGCCUGAGAGCGGCACGGCCUGUCCUGGACAGUCCACAGCAGUGCAGGUAGCUCGGUGCAGGAACCUGUGAGCACUGCAGCCAGAGGUGGAGGCAGCUGGGGACAAGCACCUGAGUCAGGAAGAUGGACUCCGUACUCUUGGCAUCUUCAUCUGAAGGGUGGUCUGGGCUCAAGAGGCCAGCUGUACGGCUUGGAUGGGACACUGGCUCACUGUGUACGGUGGAGUCGGAGCAGAUGGGAGGCAUUGGCACAAAGGUCCGGUGAGUUACAGAAGGGCCUUCUGGGCCCUCAGUAGCUAGCAGUGCCUCAUGAGAGGUGUUUUCGGUGGAGGGCAGUUCCUCAGCUCCUAGUUCUGGCUCCUGCAUAAAACUUGAGGGAGGUUUGUCUGUGGUCAUGCUCAGGUGAUGGGGUACCAGAGAAUGCCUUGGAACUCUGGGGACGUGGGUUUUCACCUGAAUGAGAGAAAGGCUGGGUUAGAUUUGCUCUCUAGUUAGGAGUGAGUCCUGGACCCCACCAGCCUCAGAUGGGCUGCAUGGUAACAGUGGAGUCUGGGGAGGCAGGAGGGCCAUCACAUGUGCCUACCCAGAGGACUCAGCGUCACGUAUACCACCGUGGUGGCUUAGUGGGGAGGGCUCUUGCUGCCAGCCUGGAAGGCGAAAACUGGCUCCUACAAGUUGUCUUCUGACCUCCACGUGGCCACUGUUGCUCAUGUGAGAAUUUUAUAAAGCACCUAGGAACAACUGGCCUCUUUCCCAGGUACUUGUCCCAGGCUCUAGGCCUCAGCUGCAUCCUGACCUGACUUUCUUGGCAGCGCCACUCCUCAGGGUUUGCCAGAUGCCUCUCUCUCUCCUCAGGGAUUUCUACAGGGAUGGGGUGGCUAUUUCCCUAAGCCGCGCUUCUCAGGAGUUGUGGAAUUACUUAACUGGCAGGGCCAGUCACCAUCUUUCCUGCACUGUCUCCCUGUGUGUGGAGCGGGAAGAGGAAGGAGACUGUCCGUGCCUUGUUGUCUAGGUUUACAGACUGACUACUGCGGUAGAAAGGCCCUGGGCACUGUACUUAGGAGCUUGUGGGUUCCUUGUGAACAGGUCAGACCACUCCCCACCCACCCCCCCACAGGGUGAACUGACAGUCUUCAUUCCUGCCCUAGGUGCUAGGCUGGUGUAGCUGCCUCUUGUGUUCUCACAAGGAAAACUUCAGUUUUCCUCCUGCCCAAGCCUUUGUCCAGGGAGUUGAGGAGAAAAGUCCUAGGACUGGCCUGCAUGUGUAGCUCUCUUUCUUGGCACACUGCAGACAGGCUGCUGUCUCAGCUGGCAUCAGGUCUAAGCCAUGUUCUGGGGCCAAGUGCUGUGUGUGCCUAGAUGUACCCCAGUGCUUUGUUUCUCACAAGCUGAUACCUUGAUUACUCAGAACCUUAAACAGGAGGAGGGGCGAGGGACACCCUGAACCCAACACUAACUUGUAUCUCGUGAGCUGGUGCACCUCUCUGAGCCUGUUUUCUUGGGAGAAAAGUGAGGACAGAGGUGUGUGUGCCCCGUGGAGUACCAGCCAUGGACGAGGAAAGAGACAGAGCAUGUGCCCAGCAUCCUCCCCUCACCCCCCACGCGCCCCAGAUGGUAGAUGCACAGGGAGGUGGUAGAUCCUCAGAGCAUGCCACAGAAACCCUAAGAAUGUCGUCUGUUUCUGGCUUUAACCCUUGCUCUGCUCCUCUAGGGCUUAAGAGCUUCAUUAACGGAGCAACCACAGGGCAGGUGGCAAGGGACAGAUGUGUCUGCCUUUGGGGACCAGCAAUGUCUGCGAUAGGAGACAGGCGCUUUUCACAGAUUUUCUGAAACUCUUUUAGAUCAAAAGGAUGUUAAUUACUAAUUCAAGGUCCCCAGAGGUGAAUCUACGAGCCCACUUGGAGUGAGAGAAUCCAGCCUGCCUCCAACAGGGGCUGUGUAUCUAGUUCUGGCCACCCAGAGCUGUUGCGUGCACCAGGACCUUGUGUGACUAAAGUCAGUGUAGCUUCAUGGCUUCUUCAUCUGUCCUUUAAGCAGCUCUGUGAGGUCCAGAGCCGAGACACCAGCCUCUCAGAUCAAAACUCUUGCCAAGUUUUAUAGAUAGCUGUAGAUAUCUACUGUCUAGCUGUAGAUAGUGGGGGGUCCUGACUUCAAGGCUGAUUUCUCCCCCACUUCUCUGGUCCUAGUUUUUCUGUAAAAUUCGGGGGUCACUGACUUAGUGACCUCCAAGGCUCUUCAUUUUCCCCCCUCUUCUUGACGGCUCUCCGUCUUAUCACCCCUGCCUCUAGCUCUGUCUAACAAGAAAAGAAGGCACAGGAGUCAAUAGAGAGAGAGGUUCCAGGUUUGGCUGGGGAGGGGUGUUCUCAUGCCCAAGCCAGUGCGCAUGUUAAAACAAGGCUCCACUUCCCUGGGUCAGGGUCCUGUUGGAAGACUUACCUUUCGUGAUUCCUUCCGAGGUAUCAAAAUAUGGUGUUUAGCUUUUACCAGUUUCCUUCGCACUAAGCGGAUGCCCAGGCGCUCCUGGAGGAAGCUCUUUAGCAGGGGUGGGAUCCCUGGUGUGGAGGAAAACAAGAUGAUUGACGAUUGGCUGGUACAUCCUGGGGCUUCCUGUGUGUUUGGCACUGUUCACAUUACUUUGUAUGUGUUAAUGUACUUCUCUUUUCAACCCUAGUUAUUCCUAGUCUAUAAGCAAGGAAAGUGACACCCAGAGGCUAAGGUGACAAAGUGUAGCAAGGUGUCCCAACAGACCCAGGGCUAGAGCAGACCUCUGGCUGGUAGGCCUUGGCUAAAAGAUGGUGGGCACCACAGCAGAACUGCAUUCAGAAUGCUGGCAAAGCCAGCCCAGCAGCUGUGCCAACCCCAGAUAGAACUGGAAAUGGGACCACAGAGCCCUUCUCUGCAACCAGGGUGCAGCUUAUAGAGCUCAGAUAAGGGCGAGAGAAUUCAGAAUGCCCAGCUUUUCUUCUUUUUCUUGAGUUACCCUGAGCAGACCAGAGCCACUGUGGUUCUUGCGGUUAGUGCCUGUUUGCCAUGGCUGCUGUGCUCCACUCUCCAGACAGACAAGCCCCUCCCUCCUUGGCCUGCUCCAUCCCCACCUUAGCAUCUAAGCGGAUGAGCGCUGGUUUGGGGGACAGAUCCAUGGCUGCCAUACCUCGUGUAUGCGCUACCAGAGGGUUGUUGUGGAAGACAAGCUCACAGAGAGAGGGGAAGAGAGCUGCUGGCAGGACAGCAUCCUCCUUUGCGAUCUGGAACAAGGGCAGGAGGUAUGUUAGUCAGUGCUCCCCGGCCAGAUAAGGAUGGCUGCAGGACAGAUGUGAGAAUGAUGGACAGGAGGCCAUGCCUUAUCCCUGCACCACUGCCUACUCAGGCACUCCUGUCCAAAGAUUCUGUUACCACUGCUUCAUCAUAUGAGUGUUUUGCGUGCGAGUAUGUCUGUGUGACACAUGUGUACAGUGACCUCAGAGGCCAGAAGAGGGUGUCUGAUCUCCUUGAACUGGAAUUACAGUUGGUUGUGAGCUGUAGGUGCUCUUAACAGCUGAGCCAUCGCUCCAGUCCUCAUUGCUGUGUAUCUUUAAGAGUUAGAAAUCUCUCUCUUAUCCACACGGAACAUAUCCAGAGUAUCAAGGAUACUGGUGGCCAAAUAAUCAGAAGCAUUUGUCUCAAAGAGCCUUGAGGGUUGGCACAGACGGCACUGGCUAUGGAUGCAAACCUGCAUACCCCAGGAUUCCGUCAGCAAUGCUCCUUGGCUCUUCUUCCCAUUGCCCUAAGCACUGAUGGAUCAGGUGAAGAGCACCAGAGGGCAGGAACCCACUUAACAAUUGGAAUGUAGCUGAGCCACGGCAAAGGACACCAUCUCAUGGCUGGACAGCUCAGGACUGGCUGGGGCCAGUGGCUAUAGUGCCCUUGCACACUUAGCCUGUAAGUGGUCAGGCCAGACUGCAUGACAAAAAUCACACAAGCAUUGUUGAGCAGAGUAGCUAGAAUAUGGGAACAGCGGUGUGUUUCAGAGGAGCCCAGAGUGGGACUGACGCAGGGACACAGAGGCACAAGGGUGGCAGGGAAAAGACAGACUCUUCAGAUGGCUACUGGAUCCUGGACUGCACUGGAGCAAAUGCCUUCUCAUGGCUGGUCAUUCAGCUAGCCCAGCACUUGGUUCUCGAGAUUACAGGGCACUAAACUUCAUGUGAAGAGCCAGGCAAUAAAUGCUGGGACACAGUCUCUGCUUCUGACUCAGCCCUGGACAAUUCAUGAGCAAAUAGCUAGAGUGUUUCUUUUGCAGUAAGAUUUUACUUAUAGACACUGAAAUUUAAUUCCAUAUAAUUUUAACACAUCAUGAAACGCUAUCCUUGUUGAAUGUACCUGAAAAUAUAAAAGCCACUCAGUCCAGGGGCCACAGCAAUCCGUUGGCUCACUCAGUUUCAAUAGAUCACCAGCUUGCUCCUUGUGGUCAUACCACCUCUGCAGAGCUAAGGAGCGACAACAGACUGAUCUAUUGUCUGGCCCUUUAUUUAAAAAAAGAAAAAUUGCUGGGUUUGGGGAUAUGGCUCAGUGGCAGAAUGCAUGCCUACCAUGCUGAGAACACAUUACCAAAAAACUUGUGGAAGGAGGCUCAGUCUCCAGGCUUGCCUGUGGUGGCCCAGGAUGGCACAAGGAGAGACAAGCACUACAAUGUGAUAUAUAAAUUAAUUCAGUCAAGAUACAAGAUCCUGUUUAUAAUUAAAAUACAAAGGAAGCUGAGUGGCAUCCAAGGUGUGUGGUUGUCAGAAGUUCUGUGAUGCCAAGCUCUACCUGAAAGGCAUGGGCUCAGGGCUAGCUGAUUGGCAGGCAGAAUCUGGCCCCAGGCUAGCUGCUCCCUAUGGGGUGAGUCAGAUGACUUCAGGGGCACAGGUUUCAGUGAUAGCCUCCGAUUUCUGUCCAACUUCACUGGGUUAAAGGCAAUAUAACAAACCUAUGAGCUAUUAAAUACUGGCUAAAGUUUGAGCUAAAAUGACUGUUUUGCUUUUGACACAACACUUCUAAGUGAACAUCUGGGGGAGAGAACUUCUGUUUGGAGGCAGAAUUGGUUUUUAAAGCUUGUACCUCUAGUAAACCAAACACUGGUUUUGAAACAUUUAUCUGUGUCUGCGGUGUGCUACGAGCAGCAUUCAUGAAGUCUUAGUGUGCACCAUGCAUCGUGUUAUUCUGGAUGCUAAGGAUACAUGUGUAAGUAACACACAGCCUAACACUCGUACCAGGCAACUGACAAGGGAGCUACAGUGCCAGGAGUUAACUGUCAUACAGAAUCAUGGUCAGGACACAGGAGCACUACCCCAUCCCAACAAGAGCAAGCCGGGCAAGCCAUGUCCCAACUGUUGUGAAGCUGGCAGAGAACUCUGGUCUCAGAGAAGCCCUGGCGAGUGGGACACUAGCUCACCUGAGGUCCAUGCCAGGGCUACAUGUGCUUUAAGGACUAAUCAACUAAAGAUUGUAUGAAUUAUUAAAGUCCAUCUGUGGCUCAGAGCAAGGCAAUAAGGCUCCUGAGGGUAUGGCUAUGGUGUGUGGAUACAAGACCACAUCUCUCCCCCAGAUGUUCACUUAGAAGUGUUGUGUCAAAAGCAAAACAUUCAUUUUAACUCAAACUUUAACCAGUAUUUAAUAGCUCAUAGGUUUGUUAUAUUGCCUUUAACCCAGUGAGGUUGGAGAGAAAUCAGAGGCUAUCACUGAAACCUAUGCACCUGAAGUCAUCUGACUCACCUCAUAGGGAGCAGCGUCAUCAUGGGACAGCACCACGUGGCAUAACAUAUGCCUAGGGUAGAACAGCUGCCCUUGCAGGAGAGGCAGUGGCCCCCUGCUGCCCAGAAAGAACAGCCAACCCCCAGACAUGGCAUCUGGGAAAGGGAGCACUUGCUACUCCUGAGGUGAAGUAGAAAAGCACCUAGGUCCUGCACAGUAGAGAUCUCCUGCUGCCAUGGGGGCAGCAGCGGUAGGACCACAAGAGCUGACAUCUUGGAGAGGCAGGACCACAGUGCUGCCCAAGGCUGGGGUUGGAGCUCUCUACCUUGGGCUGGCAAGUGUCAAAGAACAAGCAACAGUAGUCUGCUGGGAAGCAGAGAAGCUAAUGGGAUCAGCCAGAGAUGCAGGGAUGUGGGGGGGGGGAGCCUGAGAGCUGCAGAUAGGAGCAGCAGAGAACCACUCUCACAGCCUAGCAGAGAUGAGUUCUCUGUAGUCUGAAAGGGAUGCGCUUUAGCACAGAUGACAUAGGCCACAAGUGCAAGGGUAGAGACAUAGACAGAUGCCCACGGAACCCACAAGAAAAGACAAAACCACAGGGAAAAUUAAAAAAUACUUUUGUUGAACGAAAAACACGGGCUGGGGUGUAGCUCAGUAGGUGGACACGUGUAGUAUGCAUGAGAGCUUGGGUUUGUUCUCCAAGAAGAAAAAAACUAAGGGUCUAUAGAAAACAAACAAGAUCUGGAUAUACUAGAUAGAGGGGAACCAGACGAAGUCAGACACAUGGACUUUUAAAUCUGUUGUGUUCCCUCAACGCCUUCACCUGAUGAAACUCGAUGACUCUGAUCUAAGCUCAGACACCACUUUUCCUUGGCCAAACAUGAGGUCAGACCCGGCAUCAUACACUGCUUCACAGUGCUAUGUAUUCCUCAUAGCACCAACCAUGCUGACAUUGUGUCAGCCUCUCUUGCUCAGGCUAACCUCAAGCUCACAGGCAGGAGGUAGUGGCAGGAUCACAAGGAUGUGCUACCACACCUACUUUAAGCCAUACUGGGUGCUGAAACCCUGGGUUUCACACCGAGUGUACUCUAUCAACCAAGCUCCAGCCCCAGUCUGGAGGUCUUCAAACGUGUACCCCCAGCGCCUAGCGCAAAGGCCAGCACAUGGAAGUUCUUGAGAACCAGAGCCACACACUUGCAUGCAGGGAAGAAAUUGCUGGGCUCCAGGCCAGAACGGUUCACAUCCCUUCCUCCCAUCCAUGCCCCAAGGAAACAGCAAAAGCAGUUACCUUGUUGUAGGCCAGGCUAAGGUAUCUUAGCUCUGGGAAAGGUGGGGCCAGCGUCUGGUUCCUUGCUUUCAGUGACUUCACAGGAAGUAUCUCAAAUAUGGGAGGAAGUGAACAUAUCUUGGCUGUCUUAGAAAGAGAAAAGUCAGAGUCAAAGUGUCAUAAUGAUUUGAAAAAGAAAAAAGAAACUGAGGCUGGCAGCAGUCAAAUGUCCUUUCUAUUGGGUGUGAUGAAAAGACCUCUAUGAGUCUGGCCAAAGGAACAUUUAGGGUCAUAAAGGCCAGAAUUCUGACUCCACAUUCUCUGAGGUCACAUGAGCUAAUUCUCCAGUAUCCAAAGUUCCAAUUUCAAGUUCCCUGGGGCCACAGAAGAUCACAGGAGUGUUGUAAAAACCAGAGGCUCUUGCCCUUCCUCCAGCCCUGAGGCAACUUGGCCCUGGCUAGCCCUUCUGUGCAACUCAGCUAAAAUUUCCCCAAAGGGUUCCUUGAACCACAUUUCCAUUUUGCUAAUGGGAUGAGGAGCAGACUUGGUUGGAGGGUGGGGCUCUGAGCUCAAACAUGCAUCAGAGAAGAUGCUCUACCAAAGCUGCAUGCUGAGGCUCAGGAGAGCUUCCUGGUGGGUAAGUACACUGACUUACCUGCCAGGAGGGUGGGAUGCCAGGUUCCCUGGGGAGGGUGCACACAGGAGCCUUCUCAUUCUGCUGGCCUCAUUUUUUUGUCCUUUAUAUUACCACUGUGGGCGGUUAAGCAAGACCCUUUCUCAAGUUCUCUGAGUUCUACAAGUACUGAAUCUCAGAGGAGGGUGUUGUGGGGACUCCCAAGUUUUUAUCAGUCACAGUGUGAACAUCUUACUGUCUUCUUCCUUCAUGACUGGCACCUAGAGUGAGGGCAGUUUUCUUAGGAACUCUACCCCUAAACUUGACCUUAAACUCUGGGCUGGUUAGUGUUGGCACUGUGCUCUGUCAUCCUGCCCUCUAAUUGCUUUGACAAUAGAAUGUGGCCAAUGUGACCCAUUUGAAUUUCACACUCUUCUGUGCUUGCUUGCUUGCUUGCUCUCUUGAGACCUGAAACUGCCCUGUUGUUAAGACCAGGGUGUAAAGACAAUGUGGAGAGGCCAGGGCACACCAUAUCCUUUGAAGCUCAACUGCCAGCUGGCCUGCAACUCCAGCAGAACCACCCUGCUAGCUCCAAUAAUCUGGGAAGUAAUCAGCUGAACUGAAGUCAGUCAGUGGUCGGUAGUUUUGUUGUGCAACCAACAGUUAACUGAUACAGUUUCUGACACAGUCGUAUCUGUGAGGAGGUAGCUUUAUCUUUCAAGGGUAUGAGUUGGCUGGGUGUAGACCCGCACAACUUGCUGCACAUGGAGGCAUCAGUAUUUAGUCUACAUGUAUCCUCUGUCCAUGAACAGGGUUAGUGAGCUAUGCCGAGAAGGAAACCAGUCUUCUCUGUUGACAGAAUCAAACAGUACGCCUUUGAUAGCAAGGCUCAGAUCUGGGCAACAGUGUAAUCAGCAAGAAAUCUAUCUUUUGAGGCCUUUGUGAGAAGGCUUCCUGGUGGCAGUCUCAAUUUUAUCACCUGAUAGCCUUUGUCACUAUUCUCUGCUAAACAGUGUAUGAAGGCAAGCGAGGGAGCAAGCCUGUGGACCGAUGAGGUCAGGGCCUGGUCAGUUCCCCCCUCCAUGUCCCCAGUGGUCAGCAUAGGGCUGAACCGCAGUAGGUAGUGAAUAUGUGGCCUAGAGAAAUGUCUCUUGUGGAUCUAUUACUUGUUCAUUACCCUUUAAUGCUUUUGCCGUUAUUCUCCCACUACUGAAGUACAACUAUAAGACUUUUCACCGUGUCGGGGAACAGGAACCCAGGAGAGACUGGAAGUGGAACGGCAUCCGCUCUAUCUGUGUAAGGCUGUGGGUUCAUCCCUACAUGGACAUUGAGCAAACACAAACAUGAAGCAGCAGUUCCUCCUACCUCUGAGGUCGAAAAUCCAGGAUAAGAUGAGAAUACAACCUCUGAAACGACAAAAAGACAGAGGAAAGAGAAAACCCCAGGCUCUGGUGGCGUCACGGCGUGGAAACGAGAGCAGUGAACACUGCACACCCUUGAGCUCAUGAGGCAAUCACAGCCCUGAUCGCCAUUCCUCACAGGAAUCUCGCCACAGAGGAAGGCGUUACACUAGUCACCUCCUGGAGCAUCAUGGCCGAGGCCGAGGGAGUGCAAGACUGACUCAACACUGAUAAGUUCAUCCAGAGUUCUCUCACACCCUCAAGUAAAGAAUCGUGGUAACCCCACCC